CACCGGUGUGGUCCUGGUUCCACUUUUGUUGCUGUUCCAGGAGUCGUCCAUGUUCUGCUUGCCUAUCUUAGAUGGCGAGAAGGGUGUUGUCGGUGCGGUUGAAGAAGGCGCCGGCCUCUUGGUAGUAGUCGCCGGAGAACACAUAGGAGGCGUCGGAGUUCCUUCCUACAUCAAAUUGGGGCUGGGGCCUAGACCCUGAAGCUCCAAACGAAUCAGUGGAGUACCUGCUUG
rnacentral:lncRNA from 1 species